CAGUCGCCGCGGGAAUACGUAGGGUGCGAGCGUUAAUCGGAAUUACUGGGCGUAAAGCGUGCGCAGGCGGUUCGUUAAGACAGAUGUGAAAUCCCCGGGCUCAACCUGGGAACUGCAUUUGUGACUGUAUAGCUAGAGUACGGCAGAGGGGGAUGGAAUUCCGCGUGUAGCAGUGAAAUGCGUAGAUAUGCGGAGGAACACCGAUGGCGAAGGCAAUCCCCUGGGCCUGUACUGACGCUCAUGCACGAAAGCGUGGGGAGCAAACAGGAUUAGAUACCCCGGUAGUCCCUGUCUCUUAUAC
rnacentral:rRNA from 1 species